rnacentral:rRNA from 1 species
AGUGAACGCUGGCGGUAGGCCUAACACAUGCAAGUCGAACGGCAGCACAGUAAGAGCUUGCUCUUACGGGUGGCGAGUGGCGGACGGGUGAGGAAUACAUCGGAAUCUACUUUUUCGUGGGGGAUAACGUAGGGAAACUUACGCUAAUACCGCAUACGACCUACGGGUGAAAGCAGGGGAUCUUCGGACCUUGCGCGAUUGAAUGAGCCGAUGUCGGAUUAGCUAGUUGGCGGGGUAAAGGCCCACCAAGGCGACGAUCCGUAGCUGGUCUGAGAGGAUGAUCAGCCACACUGGAACUGAGACACGGUCCAGAGUCCGACGGGAGGCAGCAGUGGGGAAUAUAGGACAAUGGGCGCAAGCCUGAUCCAGCCAUACCGCGUGGGUGAAGAAGGCCCUCGGGUUGUAAAGCCCUUUUGUUGGGAAAGAAAAGCAGCAGGUUAAUACCCCGCUGUUCUGACGGUACCCAAAGAAUAAGCACCGGCGAACUUCGU